GACGAACGCUGGCGGCGUGCUUAACACAUGCAAGUCGAACGAUGAAGCCGGAGCUUGCUCUGGUGAAUUAGUGGCAAACGGGUGAGUAACACGUGAGUAACCUGCCCUUGACUCUGGGAUAACUGCGGGAAACUGUAGCUAAUACCGGAUACGACCCUCGGAGGCAUCUCCUGGGGGUGGAAAGAAUUUCGGUCAAGGAUGGACUCGCGGCCUAUCAGCUAGUUGGUGAGGUAACGGCUCACCAAGGCGACGACGGGUAGCCGGCCUGAGAGGGUGACCGGCCACACUGGGACUGAGACACGGCCCAGACUCCUACGGGAUGAAGCAGUGGGGAAUUGGUUACAAUGGGCGCAAGCCUGAUGCAGCAACGCCGCGUGCGGGAUGACGGCCUUCGGGUUGUAAACCUCUUUUAGUAGGGCAGCAGUGAAAGUGACGGUACCUGCAGAAAAAGCACCGGCUAACUAGGUGCCAGCCGCCGCCGUAA
rnacentral:rRNA from 1 species